UACGUAGGGGGCAAGCGUUGUCCGGAUUUAUUGGGCGUAAAGAGCGUGUAGGCGGUUUGGUAGGUCCGCUGUGAAAACCCGAGGCUCAACCUCGGGCCUGCAGUGGGUACGGGCAGACUAGAGUGCGGUAGGGGAGAUUGGAAUUCCUGGUGUAGCGGUGGAAUGCGCAGAUAUCAGGAGGAACACCAAUGGCGAAGGCAGAUCUCUGGGCCGUAACCUGACGCUGAGGAGCGAAAGCAUGGGA
rnacentral:rRNA from 1 species